ACGGGAGGCAGCAGUGGGGAAUAUUGGACAAUGGGGGAAACCCUGAUCCAGCGACGCCGCGUGAGUGAAGAAGUAUUUCGGUAUGUAAAGCUCUAUCAGCAAGGAAGAAAAUGACGGUACUUGACUAAGAAGCUCCGGCUAAAUACGUGCCAGCAGCCGCGGUAAUACGUAGGGGGCAAGCGUUAUCCGGAUUUACUGGGUGUAAAGGGAGCGUAGACGGCAAAGCAAGUCUGAAGUGAAAUCCCGGGGCUCAACCCUAGAACUGCUUUGGAAACUGUUUAGCUAGAGUGCAGGAGAGGUAAGUGGAAUUCCUAGUGUAGCGGUGAAAUGCGUGGAUAUUAGGAGGAACACCAGUGGCGAAGGCGGCUUACUGGACUGUAACUGACGUUGAGGCUCGAAAGCGUGGGGAGCAAACAGGAUUAGAUACCCUGGUA
rnacentral:rRNA from 1 species